CCUGGUGGCUCAGACGGUAAAGUGUCUGCCUGCAAUGCGGGAGACCCAGGUUCGAUUCCUGAGUCGGG
rnacentral:tRNA from 1 species